GCCCUUUUCUUUUGAUCGUGCAGCCCCUAUAUCCGGCCUGCCGGCUUCGGCCGGCUAUGGUGAUAAACUGCGGCGUGCAAUAGGCGCAGCGGACCCGGGGGCAGUACCCGGCGGCUCCACCACCAUUGUGGCGUAUGCGGCAAUGAUGACGGGGCCGAACCAGGAUCGACGUGUGUUCAAAAGCGUUGUUUUCACCCGGGCUGAGUAACCCGUUAAAGGCUCAAAACCCACAAGUGCCAACGACAACGAAGCACUUGCUCUGGUUGCGUAAUUUUAGGGGCUAACGCCCUGACGUUACAACACUGCAGCGCGGUCGGGCGCACCGGGCAACAGAAGCGAUUCCAGCGGCGGGGGGUGGGCCGGGCAACAGAACCACCCCACU
rnacentral:tmRNA from 1 species